UACGUAGGGUGCAAGCGUUGUCCGGAAUUAUUGGGCGUAAAGAGCUCGUAGGCGGUUUGUUGCGUCGGCUGUGAAAUCCCGAGGCUCAACCUCGGGUCUGCAGUCGAUACGAGCAAACUAGAGUGUUGCAGGGGAGACUGGAAUUCCUGGUGUAGCGGUGAAAUGCGCAGAUAUCAGGAGGAACACCGGUGGCGAAGGCGGGUCUCUGGACCGAUACUGACGCUGGAGGCGCGAAAGCGUGGGGAGCAAACAGG
rnacentral:rRNA from 1 species